GAUGAACGCUGGCGGCGUGCCUAAUACAUGCACGUCGAGCGGAGCGUGGACGGGGGUGUAACACGUGGAUUACCUCCUAUACGACUGGGAUAACUUCCGGCACCCCGAGCUAAACCGGAUACUUAUACAUGGAUGCGCGCUGCAUUAGCUAGUUGGUAAGGUAACGGCUUACCAAGGCAACGAUGCAUAGCCGACCUGAGAGGGUGCUGGGGCGCACGGGAAGUGGAACAGGGUCCAUACUCCUACGUGAGGCAGCAGUAGGGGAUCUUCCGCAUUGGGCGAAAGCCUGACGCAGCAAGGCCGCGUGAGUGAUGAAGGUCUUCGGAUCGUAAUACCCUGUUAUCCGGGAAGCGGUACCUAAUCAGAAAGCGACGGCUAACUACAUGCCAGCAGCCGCGGUAAUAC
rnacentral:rRNA from 1 species